CCGACCCCACUUAGUGGGAAAAGGCUUUGUUGUUGUUGUUGUUGUUGUUAUUUCUUUUUGAGUUAGAAGCAUGUGUCUGUCUGAUUUCAGGUGAGGGAUGAACUCGAACAUUUGUUGGAUGACAAUGAAGAUAUGGCACAUUUAUAUUUAACAAUGAAAUGGAUGCAGAAUCAACAGCCUGAGGCUUUGUUGGGGCGUUCUGCUUCAAAUAGCAUCUCUGCACCCUAUUUACGUCGGCUUAGUUCCAACAGAAGUGGGAGCUUGGUAAACAGUAACAAUAUGGAUUACGAUGACGUAGAAGAUCUAGAGAUGCUGCUUGAGGCAUAUUUUAUGCAACUGGAUGGAACCCGUAACAAAAUAUUAUCUGUACAUCAACUUUGAUUCAGUUCCAGAUAACGAAUUUUAGGUUAGAUUUCUAAAUGUUGCUUAUUUUCUGUGCGAAGUUCUGUGGUUGCACUUGCUCCUGGAAUAAUUUGGAGGCUUUGGAGACCUCUUGUGGGUUUCCAGUUGGAACUAAUUUCGCUAUCAUUGGUACAUCCAUGUUACAUCUAUGUUGCAAGUGUGCAACUUCAAGUGCAUCCAUACAAUUAUACACAAAUGCAUAAAACUUACAUGCAAGCACAUCACAUUAAUAUACUACAAGUGUGCAACUUCCUUGGGA